AUGGCGGCUGCUACAGAGAGAGUGCGGACUCACGAUGCCAUGCUGAAGGAGCACGAGACGCUGCCCAACACCCAAGCCAAGGAUCUUGCCUCUCGGGAGCAGGCUUUGGCCGCCGCUAUCUGUGCCAAGGAUAAUGAGCUGGAAAGCCUUGUUCAGCAGCACACCAAGCAUCUGGAGGACAGCCACAAGAGGGCCAUCAACUUGCAGGCUCAUGAUGCGGCCGCCAAACUGAAGGAAAUCUCUAAUAAUCUUGCCGCCACUUCUGCAAUCAAAACAGAGCUUGAAACCCACGCAGGUAAACUGGAGGAGGAGGUUGCCGGGAAAAAGAAGAAGAUCGAGGCCCUCCGGGAAGAAGCACGAAAAACAUCCUCCAUGCUGGAGGGGCUGCAAUCGCAUCUUACAUCUAAGGACCAGGUUCUGAAGGCUGCUUCCAGCACCAUUGAAGAUCUGAGCACCAAGCUGGACACUCUUGAGAAAGGUCUUGAGCAGGCGAAGGACCCUGAGAGGGCCUUGGCAGAAGAGGUCAAUACUACCAGAGCUCUUAGCAAGGACGCAGAAGACAAACUCAAGGAGCAAGUCGAGCUGUACAACCUCUGGUCGAAGAGCCUAGUGAACAUAGAUGAGCGUAUUUCCUCCCAGAUCGCGACUAUGAACAUGAAGAGCUAG
rnacentral:rRNA from 1 species